AAUAAUGAAAAAUCUGAUAGAGAUGAGAAGACAAAUAAUAGCGCAACAUACAGUAUAGAAAAUGUUUAUCUCUUAAGUAGAUUCAUUAGAAAUGUUAAAUCUUCUCGAUGAAUAUCAAUUGAAGUUAUUCAAAUCAAAAACAUUGUGUAGUAUUAUGGGAACUGUAAAUAAAGAAAUGGAAUGAGAAUGAAAAAUGAGAAA
rnacentral:lncRNA from 1 species